GCUCAGUAACACGUGGAUAACCUGCCCUAGGGAAGGGGAUAAUCCCGGGAAACUGGGGAUAAUACCCUAUAGGUUACAGAUGCUGGAAUGCUCUGUAAUCAAAAGUUCCGGCGCCCUAGGAUGGAUCUGCGGCCGAUUAGGUUGUUGUUGGGGUAAUGGCCCAACAAGCCAGUAAUCGGUACGGGUUGUGGGAGCAAGAGCCCGGAGUUGGAUUCUGAGACACGAAUCCAGGCCCUACGGGGCGCAGCAGGCGCGAAAACUUUACAAUGCGGGCAACCGUGAUAAGGGAACCUCGAGUGCCUGUAAAUGCAGGCUGUUCAGAUGCCUAAAACACAUCUGGAGAAAGGGCCGGGCAAGACCGGUGCCAGCCGCCGCGGUAAUACCGGCGGCUCGAGUGGUGGCCACUUUUAUUGGGCUUAAAGCGUUCGUAGCUGGGUUGUUAAGUCUCUUGGGAAAUCUGGCGGCUUAACCGUCAGGCGUCUAAGGGAUACUGGCAAUCUUGGAACCGGGAGAGGUGAGGGGUACUUCGGGGGUAGGAGUGAAAUCCUGUAAUCCUCGAGGGACCACCUGUGGCGAAGGCGCCUCACCAGAACGGCUUCGACAGUGAGGGACGAAAGCUGGGGGAGCAAACCGGAUUAGAUACCCGGGUAGUCCCAGCCGUAAACGAUGCGCGUUAGGUGUAUCGACGACCACGAGUCGUCGAGGUGCCGAAGGGAAACCGUGAAACGUGCCGCCUGGGAAGUACGGUCGCAAGGCUGAAACUUAAAGUAAUUGGCGGGGGAGCACCACAACAGGUGGAGCCUGCGGUUUAUUGGACUCAACGCCGGAAAUCUCACCGGAUAAGACAGCAGAAUGAUUGCCGGGCUGAAGACUCUGCAUGACUAGCUGAGAGGAGGUGCAUGGCCGUCGUCAGUUCGUACUGUGAAGCAUCCUGUUAAGUCAGGCAACGAGCGAGACCCACGCCAACAGUUGCCAGCACGAUCCCCGGAUCGGUGGGGACACUGUUGGGACCGCCUCUGCUAAAGGGGAGGAAGGAAUGGGCAACGGUAGGUCAGCAUGCCCCGAAUUAUCCGGGCUACACGCGGGCUACAAUGGGCAGGACAAUGGGUAUCGACAUCGAAAGGUGAAGGCAAUCUUCUAAACCUGUCCGUAGUUCGGAUUGUGGGCUGCAACUCGCCCACAUGAAGCUGGAAUCUGUAGUAAUCGCGUUUCAAAAUAACGCGGUGAAUGUGUCCCUGCUCCUUGCACACACCG
rnacentral:rRNA from 1 species